rnacentral:rRNA from 1 species
GCAAAUUGACACCGUAACUUCGGGAGAAGGUGUGCCGCUGGCGGUUAGUGACUUCGCGUCACGAAGCUGUUGGUGGUCGCAGUGAAAUGGCGGUUGUGACUGUUUACUAAAAACACAGGACUCUGCGAAGUCGUAAGACGACGUAUAGGGUCUGAUGCCUGCCCGGUGCUGGAAGGUUAAGGGGAUAUGUCAGCGCAAGCGAAGCAUUGAACCGAAGCCCCAGUAAACGGCGGCCGUAACUAUAACGGUCCUAAGGUAGCGAAAUUCCUUGUCGGGUAAGUUCCGACCUGCACGAGGGCAUAACAACAUCCGCACUGUCUCGACCAGGGACUCAGCGAAAUUACAUUGGGGGUGAAGAUGCCCUCUACCCGCGGAAAGACGGAAAGACCCCAUGAACCUUUACUGCAACUUGGCAGUGAUUUUCGGGUUGUUCUGCGUAGGAUAGGUGGGAGGCUUUGAAGCCGGGCUUCCGGGUUCGGCAGAGCCAACGUUGAAAUACCACCCUGAAUAAUCUGGAAAUCUAACCUGCGCCCAUGAUCUGGGCGAGGGACACUGCCUGGUGGGCAGUUUGACUGGGGCGGUCGCCUCCUAAAUUGUAACGGAGGCGUGCGACGGUUCCCUCAGGCUGAUUGGAAACCAGCCGUAGAGUGCAAACGCAUAAGGGAGCUUUACUGCGAGACUGACAAGUCGACCAGUUGCGAAAGCAGGUGUUAGUGAUCCGGUGGUACCACAUGGAAGGGCCAUCGCUCAUCGGAUAAAAGGUACUCUGGGGAUAACAGGCUGAUCGCGCCUGAGAGUUCACAUCGGCGGCGCGGUUUGGCACCUCGAUGUCGGCUCAUCGCAUCCUGGGGCUGGAGCAGGUCCCAAGGGUUUGGCUGUUCGCCAAUUAAAGCGGUACGCGAGCUGGGUUUAAAACGUCGUGAGACAGUUUGGUCCCUAUCUUCCGUGGGCGCAGGACACUUGAGAGGAGCUAUCCAUAGUACGAGAGGACCUGGAUCGACGAACCUCUGGUGCUCCGGUUGUCACGCCAGUGGCAUAGCCGGGUAGCCAUGUUCGGAACAGAUAACCGCUGAAGGCAUAUAAGCGGGAAGCUGGCCUCAAGACUAGGUGUCCCUGACGCAAGUCACUAAAGGCCCCUCGAAGACUACGAGGUUGAUAGGCUCGGUGUGGAAGCGCUGCGAGGCGCGGAGCUAACGAGUACUAAUAGGCCGUGAGGCUUGACCUC